rnacentral:tRNA from 1 species
GGAGAGGUGCCGGAGUGGUCGAACGGGGCGGUCUCGAAAACCGUUGUACCCGCAAGGUACCGAGGGUUCGAAUCCCUCUCUCUCCGCCA